rnacentral:rRNA from 1 species
GACGCCACUGCUAUCGGGAUAGGACUAGGACAUGCUAGUCGAGCGCUCAGCCAAAAAGAGGCGCGGCAUACAGCUCAGUAACACGGUAUCUGCCCUAGGACGAGAACAACCCCGGGAAACUGGGGCUAACUCUCGAUAGGUGAAGAACUCUGGAAUGAGUCUUCGCCCAAAAGGCUUCACGUUAUGCGCGUGAGGUUGCCUAAGGAUGAGGCCGCGACCGAUCAGGUUGUUGGUGAGGUAAUGGCUCACCAAGCCUUUUACCGGUGCGGGCCGUGAGAGCGGGAGCCCGGAGAUGGGCACUGAGACAAGGGCCCAGGCCCUACGGGGCGCAGCAGCCGCGAAAACUUUGCAAUACACGAAAGUGUGACAGGGCUAUCCCGAGUGCCAUCCGCUGAGGAAGGCUUUUACCCAGUCUAGAACGCUGGGGGAAUAAGGAGAGGGCAAGUCUGGUGUCAGCCGCCGCGGUAAUACCAGCUCUCCGAGUGGUGUGGAUGUUUAUUGGGCCUAAAGCAUCCGUAGCUGGCUAAGUUAGUCCCUUGUUAAAUCCACCGAAUUAAUCGUUGGAUUGCGGGGGAUACUGCUUGGCUAGGGGACGAGAGAGGCAGACGGUAUUCCCGGGGUAGGGGUGAAAUCCUAUAAUCCCGAGAAGACCACCAGUGGCGAAGGCUGCCUGCUAGAACGCGCCCGACGGUGAGGGAUGAAAGCUGGGGGAGCGAACCGGAUUAGAUACCCGGGUAGUCCCAGCUGUAAACGAUGCAGGCUAGGUGUUUGGACGGCCACGUGCCGUUCUAGUGCCGCAGGGAAGCUGUUAAGCCUGCCGCCUGGGGAGUACGAUCGCAAGAUUGAAACUUAAAGGAAU